rnacentral:lncRNA from 1 species
AUAACGCAUUUGACACUCUUAUAAUAAAUAGAAUUUAAUAAGUGUCUAUUAUAUAGAUGAAACAAACACGCAUUUUGAAUCCUAUACACUAUAAAUCUAUAGCAAUGAUACUUGUACAUCAUUGUGUACAAAUUGAAUUAUAUUAAUUAACAAUUUUUUUUAUUUUUUAUUUGCUUUCUUUCUCUUUUUUCCACUUCAUCAAUUUGAACAAAAUGAUUUACAAAUAGUAUUACUCAAAGAUCAAUGUCUAUCGAUACAUGAGACCCAGCUAGUAAUCCCUUAGCCACCUUGAAGACAUUGAUCAAGACAACAGAUGUCGACAAUGGUACACUCAUGGCAAUUAACGUUAACAUUCCUAAAGCCACACUAGGCCUUGUAUUCAUCAAAUAAGACUGCAAUAUCCCUACACCCGCACAGAUAUCCUCCUGGUAAUGUCUACAGUAUUUCUUCUCCCAUUCUUUCCAAUUGGAAUUAGGCAUCUCCUUCGAAUUAGGCACAUCCUGGCUGCUGCUACUAGCCUCUGACAUCCUUAUUUUCUUGAUUCGCAUUCGCAGAACGAUCAUAUUUUUAUCAACAGAUUUUCCCUCGUCGUCGCCUUUCUUUUCACUGACAACUUUUAUGAUUGUAAUUCCAUAAUUUCUUCUUCGGUACUGAGAGGGAAUAUUUAUACUUAACACACGCUUUCUGUAUAAAGUAGGGCUAGUCAAGAAAGUAGUUGCCUCCAUAUAGUUGCUAUUGUGAUAAUUUCCAGAGAUUUUGCUGUAUGGCUGUGCUUUUUCAAGAACAAUUGGUGAUUGAAAAUGAAUGUAGAAAGACAUUUUAUAUAAAACUGGGGACAUGCUUAUACGUAGGCAUAAAAGGUACUUUUCUUCUUUUUUCCUUUUGUGGAAGUCGUGUGUUUUAAUUUGUGUCUUGUACAUAAGCAAAUUCGGGUUUUG